UACGUAGGGUGCGAGCGUUAAUCGGAAUUACUGGGCGUAAAGCGUGCGCAGGCGGUUUUGUAAGCCAGAUGUGAAAUCCCCGGGCUCAACCUGGGAAUGGCAUUUGGGACUGCAAGGCUGGAGUGCGGCAGAGGAGACUGGAAUUCCUGGUGUAGCAGUGAAAUGCGUAGAUAUCAGGAGGAACACCGGUGGCGAAGGCGGAUCUCUGGGCCAUUACUGACGCUGAGGAGCGAAAGCGUGGGGAGCGAACAGG
rnacentral:rRNA from 1 species